rnacentral:lncRNA from 1 species
CAGCACUCUUGCUUUGGAGGGAAAAUGCGGAGUGCCCGCAUGAUUCUGCACAGGAAGCUCCAUUUUCAAGAUGGGUGAUUUGGCCAUGGGAUGAGGACCCAGUAUGGGAUCCCCUCCUCAGCCGCAGAAGAGGAGCAAGGCCUUGAGAGGGGGCUGGAAGCAGAGAGACCCGACGCCUGGAUUCAGGCAUCAGGGAGGGAGCAGAACCAUCCUCGUGUGGUUCUGCCAAUUAAUCUCCUCACCUUCCUCUACUGGGGAGCUAAAGCUUGCUGCAAAUGGAAAGGAAAGGAGCAAUUGGCCGGUUGCAGACACAUAGACCAUCUUCUGUUGUGCAUAUGCCAGGGAGGGGGAAGCACCGAUCAAUUUGCAGGCCGAAGACUGCAGACAGC